rnacentral:rRNA from 1 species
UACGUAGGAUGCAAGCGUUGUCCGGAAUUAUUGGGCGUAAAGAGCGCGCAGGCGGUAACUCAAGUCAGAUGUGAAAUAUCCGGGCUUAACCCGGAGGGGUCAUUUGAAACUGAGUAACUAGAGUACAGCAGAGGAUAGCGGAAUUCCCGGUGUAGUGGUGAAAUCGCGUAGAUAUCGGGAGGAACACCAGUGGCGAAGGCGGCUAUCUGGGCUGAAACUGACGCUGAGGCGCGAAGGCUAGGGGAGCAAACAGG